UGCCCCAGGCAGCGGUGCAGCAACGGCGGGGGGCGGGCGUGGUGGGCGGGACCAUCGUGCGCGCCAAGGGGGCAGGGCAGCGAAAUGCCGCAGAGGCCUGGGGCACAGGGCCGCAUCCGAUCGGCGGCAGCUGAGGGUAUCAGACCGCCUACUGCCUGGCCAACAGCAACUCCAGCACGUUCACCACAAUUGGAGAUGGGAGCUAUGGUGAGGUGAUUCAUGGCCACUGAGCUGGCCCCAGAGUCAGCGUACAUCUUCAGGCUGAUGAUCAAGAUGAGGCAGGGCUGGGGGAGCCCCUAGAGGCCACCAUCAUCACCACUGAGAAGCGAGGUGGUGCUUUGAACCUCAGGUGACUUGACCUCGUUGGCAGCAUCCAGCGCGUCUGGCCUCUGUCUCUUCAGUGCAGAUUCAAGUGCAAAAUACACAGGAUUGUGACCUCUGUCAUCUCCCUGGUGGAUGCAUAUCACAGUCGUAAGUUGUCAUGGUUCUGAACCUCCCGCCAGGGUUGAGGUUCAGGCUUUGACUUGGGUAUCUUUUUUGCUGGCUUCUGUCUUUCUUCUGGAGGGAAAAAUACCCUCUUCUUGUCGAUUAACUUGGAGAUGUACCCUUAACCAGAAUGUUUAGAGUUUGCUGCUUGGGGAAGAUGACUUAGUGGCACAUAUGGAGAAGGUUCUGCUAGUCCCUGCCCCACACAAAACUUCUGAACUCCAGGUUGCCUCUGGUAGCAGAAUCCUGAGUUAUUGCAGCCUGACCUUGUAUAGACAUUCUCUCGAUGAUCGACUUUCUGCCCACAGUUGCUUUAUUGGGCCAUUCAUCUAGAGCAAAGAAUCCCGGGCAUCUUUACAAAUGGAUGUCUGAGUGGACUUCCGCACACAUUCUCUCUCUCUAUCUCUAUCUCUAUCUCUAUGUUUCUUUUUGUGGGCGGAGUGGGAGAUGCAGAGGAUGAGAGAUCCCUUCAGUACGCUCCCCAUGCCUUCCAUAGCCUGACCCAGGACUCAAUCCCAUAACCCUGACAUCAUAACUUGAGCCAAAGCAAAACAUUGGUCCCUUAACUGAAAGUACCUCACAGGCAUUCCUGGACAGGCUUUGUCUUUAUGGAAGGGUGUGUAAGAAACCCCUCCUGUUCUAAAAUCUUCCGAAUCGGGGAGCAUUUCCACGUCUGCAGUGAUCGUACACCCUCUCAGGCCCAGAGAUACGUAUCUGUUCUUUGUGGUGUAGAAAAGCGUUUGGCUCCCACGUUCUCAUAGACGGGGAGGAAGCCCUCACUGCCUGAUGUUUGAUGCUGACGUGUUGAGGUUUUCCUGCCCU